rnacentral:rRNA from 1 species
UGGGGAAUAUUGCGCAAUGGGGGGAACCCUGACGCAGCCAUGCCGCGUGAAUGAAGAAGGCCUUAGGGUUGUAAAGUUCUUUCGGUAUUGAGGAAGGUUGAUGUGUUAAUAGCACAUCAAAUUGACGUUAAAUACAGAAGAAGCACCGGCUAACUCCGUGCCAGCAGCCGCGGUAAUACGGAGGGUGCGAGCGUUAAUCGGAAUAACUGGGCGUAAAGGGCACGCAGGCGGUUAUUUAAGUGAGGUGUGAAAGCCCCGGGCUUAACCUGGGAAUUGCACUUCAGACUGGGUAACUAGAGUACUUUAGGGAGGGGUAGAAUUCCACGUGUAGCGGUGAAAUGCGUAGAGAUGUGGAGGAAUACCGAAGGCGAAGGCAGCCCCUUGGGAAUGUACUGACGCUCAUGUGCGAAAGCGUGGGGAGCAAACAGGAUUAGAUACCCUGGUAGUCCACGCUGUAAACGCUGUCGAUUUGGGGGUUGGGGUUUAACUCUGGCGCCCGUAGCUAACGUGAUAAAUCGACCGCCUGGGGAGUACGGCCGCAAGGUUA